rnacentral:rRNA from 1 species
UGACCGUACUAAGGUAGCAUAAUAAUUUGCCUUUUAAUUGGAGGCUAGUAUGAAUGGUUUGACGUGAAAUAUACUGUCUCAACUAUAUUUAGUAGAAUUUAACCUUUAGGUGAAGAGGCCUAAAUUUUGUGGGAAGACAAGAAGACCCUGUUGAGCUUUUAAUAUUUAUGUUAGUGAAAGCCUAAGUUUUAUAUGAUGGUCACUACUCAUAAGUAUGUUGGUUGGGGCGACCGAGGAGUACAGAAGCAACCUCCUUGUAAUGUAAAGAAUUUGUUAUUAACGAACCUGUAUUAUAGGUUAUUCGGUAGUUACCACAGGGAUAACAGCGUAAUUCUUUUGGAGAGUUCAUAUCGAAGAAAGAGAUUGCGACCUGGAUGUUGGAUUAAGGUGUCCUAAGGG